CGUUAUCCGGAAUUAUUGGGCGUAAAGAGCUCGUAGGCGGUUUGUCGCGUCUGCCGUGAAAGUCCGGGGCUCAACUCCGGAUCUGCGGUGGGUACGGGCAGACUAGAGUGAUGUAGGGGAGACUGGAAUUCCUGGUGUAGCGGUGAAAUGCGCAGAUAUCAGGAGGAACACCGAUGGCGAAGGCAGGUCUCUGGGCAUUAACUGACGCUGAGGAGCGAAAGCAUGGGGAGCGAACAGGAUUAGAUACCCUGGUAGUCCAUGCCGUAAACGUUGGGCACUAGGUGUGGGGGACAUUCCACGUUUUCCGCGCCGUAGCUAACGCAUUAAGUGCCCCGCCUGGGGAGUACGGCCGCAAGGCUAAAACUCAAAGGAAUUGACGGGGGCCCGCACAAGCGGCGGAGCAUGCGGAUUAAUUCGAUGCAACGCGAAGAACCUUACCAAGGCUUGACAUGGACCGGAAAUGCCUGGAAACAGGUGCCCCGCUUGCGGUCGGUUCACAGGUGGUGCAUGGUUGUCGUCAGCUCGUGUCGUGAGAUGUUGGGUUAAGUCCCGCAACGAGCGCAACCCUCGUUCUAUGUUGCCAGCGCGUUAUGGCGGGGACUCAUAGGAGACUGCCGGGGUCAACUCGGAGGAAGGUGGGGACGACGUCAAAUCAUCAUGCCCCUUAUGUCUUGGGCUUCACGCAUGCUACAAUGGCCGGUACAAAGGGUUGCGAUACUGUGAGGUGGAGCUAAUCCCAAAAAGCCGGUCUCAGUUCGGAUUGGGGUCUGCAACUCGACCCCAUGAAGUCGGAGUCGCUAGUAAUCGCAGAUCAGCAACGCUGCGGUGAAUACGUUCCCGGGCCUUGUACACACCGCCCGUCAAGUCACGAAAGUUGGUAACACCCGAAGCCGGUGGCCUAACCCCUUGUGGGAGGGAGCUGUCGAAGGUG
rnacentral:rRNA from 1 species